rnacentral:rRNA from 1 species
AUGGCCUCUUCAGGAGGCACACCCCUCCAUGGUGCGAAGCAGCAGACCACGAUCUGGAUGAGGAAGAGGAGAUCCGGGCGCCCCAACGGUGGAUCGAUCGAUGCGAGAGGCGAGGUUCUCCGGCGGCGGCGGGAAACUCCAGGUAGAGAGCGACCCCAUGGAUCCGUCCCUGUAGGAGAGAAGGAAGGAGAGGAGACAGGCCAUGGAGAUGGGAUGAGUGCGCGACCCCAGGAUUUUGCGCUGUCAUCUUCUUUUGCCGGUCGGGGCCCUGGAAGAGCGACACCAGCCAGGUAG